CCAAACUUGGUCAUUUAGAGGAAGUAAAAGUCGUAACAAGGUCUCCGUUGGUGAACCAGCGGAGGGAUCAUUAUAGAGUUUUAAACUCCCAACCCUGUGAACACUACCAGUUUUGUUGCCUCGGCAGGUCGUGACCUACCCUAGAGUACUUACCCUGUAGUGCCUACUCUGUAGAGACUACCCUGUAACACUCUCACGGAGUCACGCUCCAGGCCUGCCGGCGGACCAACCCAACUCUUUUAUUAUUGUCUCUGAAUUUUAUAACUAAAUAAGUUAAAACUUUCAACAACGGAUCUCUUGGUUCUGGCAUCGAUGAAGAACGCAGC
rnacentral:misc_RNA from 1 species